GUAGGUGAACCUGCGGAAGGAUCACUAUUAAUUAUAAUGUUGUGUGAGUUAUUAUUGUUGUCUCUUUUUAGGGAUGGUAGUAAUGUGAUUUCUCGUGCAUCCAACCCUGUGAACUGGUUCUAUUCUCUUUUCUGACUGUACACUUUCGAGUGUAUAUAGGUAUAGGGAGAAUAGAGCGUAUUUUAGAUAUACUCUUGUUUUACUUUAUUUCUACUCGGCGAUGGACUGUUGGAAAGAUUUUUACUCUUAA
rnacentral:misc_RNA from 1 species